CCUUUGCUGUGUUCUGGCCAGCUCAAGAACCACUGCAUCUGCCCCCUAUAAUCAGUACCUUGGGCUGCCGUAUUCAGUGAAGAUUUCUUCCUUGCCCUCAAAUUCUAGUCAAAGUUCACUGUUUGAGUGUGCAGUCCUUGUGUACUGCUGGUAUAACCCUCUCUGCAUCCUAGGUUUGCCUGUCCCAGAACCCUUCUCCCCAUGGACUAGAUACGCUCACUUCCCCAUGGACUAGAUACGCUCACUGACACACCCCUUUCCCUUGCUUACAUAUUCUGUAAUUUGGGGCUAGUUAUUUUGGAGCUCCUCACUGCCCUUAAAUUCCAGCCAAGACUCUUUGCAUAUGCGAGGUGUUCCUGAUGUUCUUAAGUCUACACAGCUUCCUCCCUAGCCACCAAAAUUUGGUCUGUACAGAGGCUGGGCACACCAUCAACUGUUGUUGUGGUGACCACUCCGGUCAGUUUGCCGCCUUGCCGUGGCCGGAGCGAUUCAAGAAGGGUCGUGCCGUCGUGAUCUAGCACUGCGGACAGCCUCCACGCUGGCCGAGCAACUCGCGCUUUCUCCAGCUGUUAGACAACAGCCGGUACACGAACUAAACCCUAUGAAAGUGCGACUAGUGAUCAAUGAUGGAGUGAGUAGGAUUGCCACCGCCAUAGAAUGUGAAAGCCACUACAUGUUGGCAAGAAUUGUGAGGACGAAUAGGAUGAGCAUGCAUCAUGACAUAUAACUUUAAAUUAAGCCCCAUAUGUAGCAGUAUUAGUACAUGUUUCGUCCACCCUAUUCAUGCUGUCAGUUUUUGCCUUUCUAUGCUACCUUUUCCUGUUCACGAUGACUACCAAGCUUCGAAACAAAGGUUUUGGUGAACCUGUGGCUUAUAAGGAACAAUUGUCAAACGAUUGAUUUUAAGUAUAUGCAAUGAACUAGUAUAAUAUUA